GAUGAACGCUGGCGGCGUGCCUAAUACAUGCAAGUCGAGCGAACAGACGAGGAGCUUGCUCCUCUGACGUUAGCGGCGGACGGGUGAGUAACACGUGGAUAACCUACCUAUAAGACUGGGAUAACUUCGGGAAACCGGAGCUAAUACCGGAUAAUAUAUUGAACCGCAUGGUUCAAUAGUGAAAGACGGUUUUGCUGUCACUUAUAGAUGGAUCCGCGCCGCAUUAGCUAGUUGGUAAGGUAACGGCUUAUCAAGGCAACGAUGCGUAGCCGACCUGAGAGGGUGAUAGGCCACACGGGAACUGAGACACGGUCCAGACUCCUACGGGAGGCAGCAGUAGGGAAUCUUACGCAAUGGGCGAAAGCCUGACGGAGCAGCGCCGCGUGAGUGAUGAAGGUCUUCGGAUCGUAAAACUCUGUUAUUAGGGAAGAACAAAUGUUUAAGUAACUAUGCACGUCUUGACGGUACCUAAUCAGAAAGCCACGGCUAACUACGUG
rnacentral:rRNA from 1 species